rnacentral:lncRNA from 1 species
CAAACACUUAGCAUUAGACUUGGAAGAAGGAUUAAACAAUCCCAUGAAUGCCACUCAGAAGCUCUAAAACAUGUUUGCAAAUUUGGGGUACUUCUCCGAUUGAGAUUUGAGGUUUGAUAUAACUAGCUUCUCAUCUGCUUAAAAAAGG